rnacentral:rRNA from 1 species
AGGGAAUCUUCCGCAAUGGACGAAAGUCUGACGGAGCAACGCCGCGUGAGUGAUGAAGGUUUUCGGAUCGUAAAACUCUGUUGUUAGGGAAGAACAAGUACGAGAGUAACUGCUCGUACCUUGACGGUACCUAACCAGAAAGCCACGGCUAACUACGUGCCAGCAGCCGCGGUAAUACGUAGGUGGCAAGCGUUGUCCGGAAUUAUUGGGCGUAAAGCGCGCGCAGGCGGUCUUUUAAGUCAGAUGUGAAAGCCCACGGCUCAACCGUGGAGGGUCAUUGGAAACUGGGAGACUUGAGUGCAGAAGAGAAGAGUGGAAUUCCAUGUGUAGCGGUGAAAUGCGUAGAGAUAUGGAGGAACACCAGUGGCGAAGGCGACUCUUUGGUCUGUAACUGACGCUGAGGCGCGAAAGCGUGGGGAGCAAAC